GACGAUCCUCCCGCCUCGGCCUCCCAAAGUGCUGGAAUUACAGAUGGAGAUGGGCUGCCAUGUUGUGAGCUGCCCCAUGGGGAAGAGGCUCACAUGUGAGGAACUGAGGGAGGCCUCCAGAAAACAGCCAGUGAAGAACUGAGACCCUCAGUCCAAUAGCCUAUGAGGAACUGAAUCCUGCUGACAACCAUAUGAAUGAGCUUGGAAGCAGAUCCUUCCCCAGUGAAGCCUUCAUGUGAGACUGCAGCCCACUUGACACUUUGAUUUGUAGCUUGUGACAGACCCCAAGCCAGAAGAGUCAGGUAAGCAGUGCCUGCACUCCUGACCCAUGGCAACUGGCAUGAUAAAUGUUUUUUCCCAUGAA
rnacentral:lncRNA from 1 species